AAACCAUGAUGGGGGUAAAGCCUAAGCAUUUCUUUGAAACGCUCCCACGCAUUGUAAAGAGAUUCACCAUCUUUUUGAGUUAAUUGUGUGAUGUGACUCCUUAAUUG